AGCGCUGAAAGCAUCUAAGCGUGAAGCCCCCCUCAAGAUGAGAUUUCCCAUUACGUUAAGUAAGUAAGACCCCUUAGAGAUGAUGAGGUUGAUAGGUCUCGGGUGGAAGCGUGGCGACACGUGGAGCUGAGAGAUACUAAUCGGUCGAGGGCUUAUCCAAAA
rnacentral:rRNA from 1 species